ACGUACACUCCUACGGGAGGCAGCAGUGGGGAAUAUUGGACAAUGGGCGCAAGCCUGAUCCAGCCAUGCCGCGUGAGUGAUGAAGGCCCUAGGGUUGUAAAGCUCUUUCACCGGAGAAGAUAAUGACGGUAUCCGGAGAAGAAGCCCCGGCUAACUUCGUGCCAGCAGCCGCGGUAAUACGAAGGGGGCUAGCGUUGUUCGGAAUUACUGGGCGUAAAGCGCACGUAGGCGGAUCGAUCAGUCAGGGGUGAAAUCCCAGGGCUCAACCCUGGAACUGCCUUUGAUACUGUCGAUCUGGAGUAUGGAAGAGGUGAGUGGAAUUCCGAGUGUAGAGGUGAAAUUCGUAGAUAUUCGGAGGAACACCAGUGGCGAAGGCGGCUCACUGGUCCAUUACUGACGCUGAGGUGCGAAAGCGUGGGGAGCAAACAGGAUUAGAUACCCGUGUAGUCC
rnacentral:rRNA from 1 species